rnacentral:rRNA from 1 species
GAACGAACGCUGGCGGCAUGGAUUAGGCAUGCAAGUCGAACGGUCGUAGCAAUACGAUAGUGGCGAAAGGGUGAGGAACGCGUGAGUAACCUGCCCCCAAGUUGGGAAUAACAGUUGGAAACGACUGCUAAUACCCGAUGUGAUCAUACGAAGGCAUCUUUGGAUGAUUAAAGAUUUAUUGCUUGGGGAUGGGCUCGCGUCCCAUUAGGUAGUUGGUGAGGUAACGGCUCACCAAGCCUGCGAUGGGUAGCUGGUCUGAGAGGAUGGUCAGCCACACUGGGACUGAGACACUGCCCAGACCCCUACGGGAGGCUGCAGUCGAGAAUCUUCCGCAAUGCGCGAAAGCGUGACGGAGCAAUGCCGCGUGCCGGAUGAAGGUCUUCGGAUCGUAAACGGCUGUCAGAUGUGACGAAUAAAUGACGGUAGCAUCAAAGGAAGCCACGGCUAACUACGUGCCAGCAGCCGCGGUAAUACGUAGGUGGCGAGCGUUGUUCGGAUWUWUUKGGCGUAAAGGGUCCGUAGGAGGUUGAUUAAAUUUGGGGUGAAAUUCCGGAGCUCAACUCCGGAACUGCCUUGAAGACUGAUCAACUAGAGUAUCGGAGAGGUAAGCGGAAUUCCAGGUGUAGCGGGUGGAAUGCUUAGAUAUCUGGAAGAACACCGAAAGCGAAGGCAGCUUACUGGACGGUAACUGACUCUCAUGGACGAAAGCGUGGGGGAGCAAACAGGAUUAGAUACCCUGGUAGUCCACGCCGUAAACGUUGUGAACUUGGUGUGGGGGGAAUUAGUCCCCUCCGUACCGAAGCUAACGCGAUAAGUUCACCGCCUGGGGACUACGGCCGCAAGGCUAAAACUCAAAGGAAUUGACGGGGGCCCGCACAAGCGGUGGAGCAUGUGGCUUAAUUCGAGGCAACGCGAAGAACCUUACCCGGGCUUGAAAUAUAACGGCUCGCCGGUGAAAGCCGGUUUUCCUUCGGGACUGUUAUACAGGUGCUGCAUGGCUGUCGUCAGCUCGUGCCGUGAGGUGUUCGGUUAAGUCCGGCAACGAGCGCAACCCGUGUCAUCAGUUGCCAGCAGGUAAAGCUGGGGACUCUGAUGAGACUGCCCGUGUUAAGCGGGAGGAAGGCGCGGAUGACGUCAAGUCAGUAUGGCCCUUAUGUCCGGGGCUGCACACGUGCUACAAUGGUCGGUACAAUGAGACGCGAAGUCGCGAGGCGGAGCAAAUCUAUAAAACCGGCCUUAGUUCAGAUUGCAGUCUGCAACUCGACUGCAUGAAGUUGGAAUCGCUAGUAAAGGCGUAUCAGCUACGACGCCUUGAAUACGUUCCCGGGCCUUGUACACACCGCCCGUCAC